rnacentral:rRNA from 1 species
AGAGUUUGAUCAUGGCUCAGGACGAACGCUGGCGGCGUGCCUAACACAUGCAAGUCGAGCGAUGAAACCCUUCGGGGUGAAUUAGCGGCGGACGGGUGAGUAACACGUGGGUAACCUGCCUCAAAGAGGGGAAUAGCCUUUCGAAAGGAAGAUUAAUACCGCAUAAUAUGUUUUGAUCGCAUGAUUGAAACAUCAAAGGAUGUUCUUUUAGAACUUCCACUUUGAGAUGGACCCGCGGCGCAUUAGCUAGUUGGUGAGGUAACGGCCCACCAAGGCAACGAUGCGUAGCCGACCUGAGAGGGUGAUCGGCCACAUUGGAACUGAGACACGGUCCAGACUCCUACGGGAGGCAGCAGUGGGGAAUAUUGCGCAAUGGGGGAAACCCUGACGCAGCAACGCCGCGUGAAUGAUGAAGGCCUUCGGGUUGUAAAGUUCUGUCUUCUGGGACGAUAAUGACGGUACCAGAGGAGGAAGCCACGGCUAACUACGUGCCAGCAGCCGCGGUAAUACGUAGGUGGCAAGCGUUGUCCGGAUUUACUGGGCGUAAAGGAUGCGUAGGCGGACAUUUAAGUCAGAUGUGAAAUACCCGAGCUUAACUUGGGUGCUGCAUUUGAAACUGGGUGUCUAGAGUGCAGGAGAGGUAAGUGGAAUUCCUAGUGUAGCGGUGAAAUGCGUAGAGAUUAGGAAGAACACCAGUGGCGAAGGCGACUUACUGGACUGUAACUGACGCUGAGGCAUGAAAGCGUGGGGAGCAAACAGGAUUAGAUACCCUAGUAGUCC